rnacentral:tmRNA from 1 species
GGGGGUGACUUGGCUUCGACGCCGGUUACAAAACCUUAGGUGCAUGUCGUGAGUGUAGUGAAUCACGUAAAUCCAUUACUACACAGUUAUAGUUGCUAACGACGAUAACUACGCACUAGCAGCAUAAGUCUGCUACGCCGCACUCAGAGGUGCCUAUAACUCAGAGGUUCGCGGUGUCAUAUGAGAUGGGAUCGCCCGGAAGCUUCGCCUUAAGCUGAACGGUUAAAACUAAAAAGGCUCGCCCUAUACGCCCUGACCCUCGGGCCGUUAUGGGUUAACUCAAUAGAGGUGUCUAAGCAUGUAGAUCUUAGGGCAGCGGAUUGGCGGACGCGGGUUCGAAACCCGCCACCUCCACCA